rnacentral:misc_RNA from 1 species
UUGUGGUGGAACAGACGUCCUUA